rnacentral:rRNA from 1 species
GACAGAGGCCUCAAGCGUUAGGCGGAAUCACUGGGCUUAAAGCGUGUGUAGGCGGAUCGUUAAGUGCCUUGUGAAAUCCCACGGCUUAACUGUGGAACGGCUGGGCAUACUGGCGGUCUUGAGCCAUCUAGGGGCGACUGGAACAAACGGUGGAGCGGUGAAAUGCGUAGAUAUCGGGAGGAACACCAGUGGCGAAGGCGACUACCUGGCCUGUUCUUGACGCUGAGGCGCGAAAGCUAGGGGAGCAAACGGG